CCAUCCCUCCAUCCUCCACGUCGAUGCUCCGCCGGGAAAUCACAUCCAGACUGAAAAUCGAGAAGAUGUAGUUUUGUCAUGCCACUAGCGCCGUCGUCAUCAGCGUCCUGUCCCCCAAUUCUUUCCACGACGCUGCUCCACCGGGAGCGUCACCACCAGCCUCCGAUUUGAGAAGCUGCAGUUUUGGUCAUAGCAGCAGCGCCAUGGUCCAUGCGAACGGAUUCAGCCGCCAUCGUUCUCUCCUCGAGCGCACAACCUUGGGUUCGCCCUCACCAGGCAUCCCUUACCUUUGCCAUACAACAUCAGGAACAACCAUGGACGGACAAACUAUAUGUAUCUCAAACUGAAAGAAAAUAUUGAUUUUUCCUUGGAUUAAUCGCCUCACGCCGUUCAGCUAGAUCAACCUGGGUCAUGAUUGUUCCUGGGCAAGAGAGUUUAGAUCACUGCUUUUACUUUCCUGGCUUUCAUAUAACAAUACCUUGCAGCGAAGGAGCAGGAGGUGAUGUGGCAUAGUUGAUCCUUUAGAGAUUCAUACUUGCGUUCUAGAAUUUGUUUCGAACUUGCAAUUAAGAAGUGUUGUACUGGUGAUCAUAAUUUCCUGGCCAGGUACGAAUUUAAUACAGUUUUGUUGUAGUUUCUGAAUCAAGAUAAAAUCUUUCUUUAAUACAAUGAGAAUUGGAUGCAGGGCAUAUCAUACUGGUGUUAGAGCAAUGGGAUUGUGUAAGCUUAAUAAACGUUGUGCAUAUUUUUUCUUUUUUUCUUCAUGUAAAUGCUUGUAUCGUUACUAUUGUUACUGCUUGAACGUCAUAUCAAAAUUACAACCAGAAUUGUUAAGAACUGGGAUCAAUUCUUUUGGCUAUUUUUUCUACAGGAGCGAAAAAAUACUAUUUGGAAGCAGUUUCCUGAUGAACAUUAAUCAUUGAGAACUUUCCUACAGAAGUACAACAUCCAUCCAAGCUACGUACGAGCUAUUUCUAUAGUUGUUCGAUGAAGUA